ACCAAGGCGCUUGAGAGAACUCGGGUGAAGGAACUAGGCAAAAUGGUACCGUAACUUCGGGAGAAGGUACGCUCUUGAUGGUGAAGUCCCUCGCGGAUGGAGCUGACGAGAGUCGCAGAUACCAGGUGGCUGCAACUGUUUAUUAAAAACACAGCACUGUGCAAAAUCGCAAGAUGACGUAUACGGUGUGACGCCUGCCCGGUGCCGGAAGGUUAAUUGAUGGGGUUAGCGCAAGCGAAGCUCUUGAUCGAAGCCCCGGUAAACGGCGGCCGUAACUAUAACGGUCCUAAGGUAGCGAAAUUCCUUGUCGGGUAAGUUCCGACCUGCACGAAUGGCGUAAUGAUGGCCACGCUGUCUCCACCCGAGACUCAGUGAAAUUGAAAUCGCUGUGAAGAUGCAGUGUACCCGCGGCUAGACGGAAAGACCCCGUGAACCUUUACUACAGCUUGGCACUGAACAUUGAACCUACAUGUGUAGGAUAGGUGGGAGGCUAUGAAGACGUGACGCCAGUUGCGUUGGAGCCGUCCUUGAAAUACCACCCUUGUAUGUUUGAUGUUCUAACUUAGACCCAUUAUCCGGGUUGAGGACAGUGCCUGGUGGGUAGUUUGACUGGGGCGGUCUCCUCCCAAAGAGUAACGGAGGAGCACGAAGGUGGGCUAAUCACGGUUGGACAUCGUGAGGUUAGUGCAAUGGCAUAAGCCCGCUUAACUGCGAGAAUGACGGUUCGAGCAGGUGCGAAAGCAGGUCAUAGUGAUCCGGUGGUUCUGUAUGGAAGGGCCAUCGCUCAACGGAUAAAAGGUACUCCGGGGAUAACAGGCUGAUACCGCCCAAGAGUUCAUAUCGACGGCGGUGUUUGGCACCUCGAUGUCGGCUCAUCACAUCCUGGGGCUGAAGUCGGUCCCAAGGGUAUGGCUGUUCGCCAUUUAAAGUGGUACGCGAGCUGGGUUUAGAACGUCGUGAGACAGUUCGGUCCCUAUCUGCCGUGGGCGUUGGAAGAUUGAAGGGGGCUGCUCCUAGUACGAGAGGACCGGAGUGGACGAACCUCUGGUGUUCGGGUUGUGUCGCCAGACGCAUUGCCCGGUAGCUAAGUUCGGAAUUGAUAAGCGCUGAAAGCAUCUAAGCGCGAAGCGAGCCCUGAGAUGAGUCUUCCCUGAUACUUUAAGUAUCCUAAAGGGUUGUUCGAGACUAGAACGUUGAUAGGCAGGGUGUGUAAGCGUUGUGAGGCGUUGAGCUAACCUGUACUAAUUGCCCGUGAGGCUUAACCAU
rnacentral:rRNA from 1 species